rnacentral:rRNA from 1 species
GAAGGGAGCUAGCGUUGUUCGGAAUCACUGGGCGUAAAGCGCACGUAGGCGGAUGUGUCAGUCAGGGGUGAAAUCCCGGAGCUCAACUUCGGAACUGCCCUUGAUACAGCACAUCUUGAGUCCGGAAGAGGUGGGUGGAAUUCCUAGUGUAGAGGUGAAAUUCGUAGAUAUUAGGAAGAACACCGGUGGCGAAGGCGGCCCACUGGUCCGGUACUGACGCUGAGGUGCGAAAGCGUGGGGAGCAAACAGG